AGACUGGAGAGUUUGAUCCUGGCUCAGAACGAACGCUGGCGGCGUGCCUAACACAUGCAAGUCGAACGUGAUCCGCCCUUCGGGGUGGUGAAAGUGGCGCACGGGUGAGUAACGCGUGGAUAAUCUGCCCGAGGAUUUGGGAUAACAUCUCGAAAGGGGUGCUAAUACCGAAUAAGCCCACGGGGUCUACGGAUCUUGCGGGAAAAGGGGGGGACCUUCGGGCCUCCUGUCCUUGGAUGAGUCUGCGUACCAUUAGCUAGUUGGUGGGGUAAUGGCCUACCAAGGCGACGAUGGUUAGCUGGUCUGAGAGGAUGAUCAGCCACACUGGAACUGAGACACGGUCCAGACUCCUACGGGAGGCAGCAGUGGGGAAUUUUGCGCAAUGGGGGAAACCCUGACGCAGCAACGCCGCGUGGGUGAUGAAGGCCUUCGGGUCGUAAAGCUCUGUCUGGAGGGAAGAAAUGAUUGGGAGCUAAUACCUCUUGAUCUUGACGGUACCUCUGAAGGAAGCACCGGCUAACU
rnacentral:rRNA from 1 species